GACGAACGCUGGCGGCGUGCUUAACACAUGCAAGUCGAACGAAGAGCGAUGGAAGCUUGCUUCUAUCAAUCUUAGUGGCGAACGGGUGAGUAACGCGUAAUCAACCUGCCCUUCAGAGGGGGACAACAGUUGGAAACGACUGCUAAUAACGCAUACGAUCUGACCUCGGCAUCGAGGAAAGAUGAAAGGUGGCCUCUACAUGUAAGCUAUCACUGAAGGAUGGGAUUGCGUCUUAUUAGAUAGAUGGGGGGGUAACGGCCCACAAAGGCGAUGAUCAGUAAGCGGUCGGAGAGGAUGGACGGCCCCAUUGGGACUGAGAAACGGCCCCGGCCCCUGCGGGAGGCAGCAGUGGGGAAUCUUCCGCAAUGGACGAAAGUCUGACGGAGCAACGGCGCGUGGGUGAUGACGGCCUUCGGGUUGUAAAGCUCUGGUAAUCGGGAUGAAAGGCCUUUUUGCGAAUAGUGGGAAGGAUUGACGGUACCGGAAUAGAAAGCUCCGGCUAACUACGUG
rnacentral:rRNA from 1 species